AACAAGGUUUUUUAAGGUCUUCUAAAUCUUAUUGGAAUUUUUUUUUAUUCACUUGUUU
rnacentral:tRNA from 1 species